UCCGAUAUGGUGUAGUGGCCAACAUGAUGCCCUCUCAUCUCAGAUGCGAGGUUAGGCAUAGCCCCGAGUUCGAUUCUCGGUUUCGGAA
rnacentral:tRNA from 1 species